rnacentral:rRNA from 1 species
UACGGGGGGGGGCAAGCGUUGUCCGGAAUCACUGGGCGUAGAGGGCGCGUAGGCGGUUUGAUAAGUAGAGGGUGAAAGAUUCGAGCUCAACUCGAAAACUGCCUUCUAAACUGUCUUACUUGAGGGUCUGAGGGGAAACUGGAAUUCACGGUGUAGCGGUGAAAUGCGUAGAUAUCUGGAGGAACACCGGUGGCGAAGGCGGCAUCCUGGACCGAGAUUGACGCUGAGGCGCGAAAGCCAGGGGAGCAAAGCGGGGA